GACGAACGCUGGCGGCGUGCUUAACACAUGCAAGUCGAACGGUAAGGCCCUUCGGGGUACACGAGUGGCGAACGGGUGAGUAACACGUGGGUGAUCUGCCCUGCACUUCGGUAUAAGCCUGGGAAACUGGGUCUAAUACCGGAUAGGACCACUGCCUGCAUGGGUGGUGGUGGAAAGCUUUUGCGGUGUGGGAUGGGCCCGCGGCCUAUCAGCUUGUUGGUGGGGUGAUGGCCUACCAAGGCGACGACGGGUAGCCGGCCUGAGAGGGUGACCGGCCAAACUGGGGCUGAGAUACGGCCCAGACUCCUACGGGAGGCAGGAGUGGGGAAUAUUGCACAAUGGGCGCAAGCCUGAUGCAGCGACGCCGCGUGAGGGAUGACGGCCUUCGGGUUGUAAACCUCUUUCAGCACCGACGAAGCGCAAGUGACGGUAGGUGCAGAAGAAGGACCGGCCAACUACGUGCCAGCCGCCGCCGUAAGAC
rnacentral:rRNA from 1 species